rnacentral:rRNA from 2 species
UAGUCGGAGGUGUGUCUCGGACGGUUGGUUCGCUGCUUGUCGGUGCUUAACUGGCCGGUCCGGACGUCCUGCCGGUGGGGAUGUCAAAAGUCUCCGUUAUCCUUCUUUGGUGCUCUUCACCGAGUGCUUUGGUGGGCCGGCACGUUUACUUUGAACAAAUUAGAGUGCUCAAAGCAGGCCGUUGGUCGCCUGAAUACUGUGUGCAUGGAAUAAUGGAAUAGGACCUCGGUUCCAUUUUGUUGGUUUUCAGAACUCGAGGUAAUGAUUAAUAGGGACGGACGGGGGCAUUCGUAUUGCGACGUUAGAGGUGAAAUUCUUGGAUCGUCGCAAGACGAACCGAUGCGAAAGCAUUUGCCAAGAACGUUUUCGUUGAUCAAGAACGAAAGUUAGAGGUUCGAAGGCGAUCAGAUACCGCCCUAGUUCUAACCAUAAACGAUGCCAGCUAGCCAUCCGCCGAAGUUCCUUCUAUGACUCGGCGGGCAGCUUCCGGGAAACCAAAGCUCUUGGGUUCCGGGGGAAGUAU